rnacentral:tRNA from 1 species
GCGAGGGUGGCGAAAUUGGCAGACGCGCAAGACUUAGGAUCUUGUGGUUUCCACCGUGCGGGUUCAAGUCCCGCUCCUCGCA